CAUGAAGCUAGGCCGGCAAACCCGCUGAAUUUAAGCAUAUAAGUAAGCGGAGGAUAAGAAACUAAACAGGAUUCCCUUAGUAAUGGCGAAUGAACAGGGAUAAGCUCGGCUUGGGAAUCAAGGCCUUUGGUCUUGAAUUGUAGUCUGGAGAUGUGUUGCCAACGGAGGCGCAGGUGUAGGCCUCUUGAAAAAGAGCAUCAGAGAGGGUGAGAAUCCCGUCUUUCAUCUGCAGUCCCCUGUGUUCGGCGCGCAUUCUAAGAGUCACGCACCUCGGGAUUGGUGCGCAAAGCGGGUGGUAAAUUUCAUCUAAAGCUCCAUAUAUGUUUGAGGCCGAUAGCAAACAAGUACCAUGAGGGAAAGGUGAAAAGGACUUUGGAAAGAGAGUUAAAAGUGUUUGAAAUCGCUGGAACGGAAGCGAGUGGAACCAGUCAGCCAUGGUGAGAUUGUUGCGCGCUUGUGUGAUGGUUUGUCGCCAUAGCGCAAGCAUGGAGGCAAGCUUUGACCAUUCGCGCGCAGUGCUUCUUGCCUUGCAUGUCACCGGUGAUGCGCCUGCGUUGAUAACCCCGAGUAGACGGUAGCUUGCUCCCGAGCGAGUGAAACUGCUUGGAGGAACUCUCUUGCGCAUCGCUUGGUGGUGAAAUGGUUCCCCUCGACCCGUCUUGUAACACGGACCAAGGAGUCUAACAUGUGUGCGAGUGCUCGGGGUCAACCCCCCAGCGCGAAAUAAACGUAAAGGUGAACUUGUUCACUUAGGUAGGAUCCUUAGGUGCACUAUCGACCGACCAUGAUCCUCCGGGAGAAAGGUUUGAGUGUGAGCAUACAUGUUGGGACCCGAAAGAUGGUGAACUAUGCUUGAGUAGGGCGAAGCCAGGGGAAACUCUGGUGGAGGUCCGCAGCGAUUCUAACGUGCAAAUUGAUCGUCGAACUUGGGUAUAGGGGCGAAAGACUAAUCGAACCAUCUAGUAGCUGGUUCCUCCCGAAAUUUCCCUUAGGAUAGCUGCAACCGAACAGUUUUAUCAGGUAAAGCGAAUGAUUAGAGGAAUCGGGGGCGCUUUGUCCUCGACCUAUUCUCAAACUUUAAAUGGGUAAGAACCCUGGGUUGCUUAAUUGAACCCGGUGGUCGAAUGACGGUUGCUAGUGGGCCAAUCUGGGUAAGCUAGAUUGGCGAUGCGGGAUGAUCCGAACGUCGAGUUAAAGUGCCAAAGUAUCCGCUAACCUAGAUCCCACAAAAGGUGUUGGUUCAUUAAGACAGC
rnacentral:rRNA from 13 species